UUCUCUCAGAGCAAAAGCACUAUCACGGACGUAUUUGGGACAUUCUUAUGUUAAAAAACAUAGGCUGUAUGUAUGAUUCCCCAUUUCAAGUUUUGGAACUUUGUAUCAUUAUAUAAUAAGAGAUGAUAUUUAACAUUAGCCUACAUUAUACCCUGGUUUACUAUUUGGCUUGCAGUUGUCUGCUUUUUAAUAGCUAGUUAGAACAUAUUGCUCACCGAGCAUUUUGGCGUUAGUUGCACAUUUAAAAAGUUUAGAUGUGUUGCGCGUUAGCCAACACUGCAUGCUCAUUUUGAAUAACACAUAGACCUAGGUGUUUAAGUUGCAGUUUCUGUAGACUAAACUAACAGUGCGCGUAGGUACCCAAGGGUACCCAACAACUUUGUCAUUAUGGACGACAACCCUGACUUUGAUAACAAAGAAAUUAAAGAGGAGAAAAAUGGUCUGGAUCUGAGGAAAACGAACCCUUCCAAAUCCGUGGACAUGGAGGAACAAAUUGAAUGUACGAGCAUCUCGAAUGAGAACCAGGACAAUAGGCCUUCAACUACCACGCGUUUAUACAAAAGGAGAUGGGUGAUGGUGUUCCUUUUCAGCUGUUACUCCCUGUGCAACGCAUUUCAAUGGAUCCAAUACGGAAUAAUCAACAAUAUUUUUAUGAAAUUCUACAAUGUGGACUCUUUUACCAUUGACUGGAUGUCAAUGGUCUAUAUGUUGACCUAUAUUCCUUUUAUAUGGCCUGUCUCCUGGCUUUUGGACAAAAAGGGACUGCGGCUCAUAGCACUGAUGGCCACCGCUAUUAAUUGCCUUGGGACAUGGAUCAAGGUGGCCAGCGUCAGGUCAAACUUAUUUUGGGUGACGAUGCUCGGACAGUUUGCAAGUUCUCUAUCCCAGGUCUUCAUCCUUGGCAUGCCCUCCCGCCUGGCAUCGGUUUGGUUUGGGUCCGAAGAGGUGUCCACCGCCUGUUCCAUCGGCGUUUUUGGGAAUCAGUUGGGCAUUGCCAUUGGCUUCCUGGUGCCACCCAUCCUCGUGCCAAAUGUUGACAAUAUAGAAGAGCUGGCAUACCACAUCAGCAUCAUGUUCUACAUCACUGCUGGAGUGGCCACCAUGAUCUUCAUCCUCGUGGUCUUCAUGUUCCAAGAGAAGCCGGAAAUCCCUCCCACCCUGGCUCAGGUCCAGGCCAGGAGCAUCCCUCCAGAAGAUUACUCCUACAUGGCUUCUAUCCUGAGACUGCUGCGUAACCUACCCUUCAUGCUCCUCGUCAUCAGCUAUGGGCUGAAUGUCGGUUGUUUCUAUGCUGUUUCCACACUGCUGAACCGGAUGAUUAUUGAGCAUUAUCCAGGUGAAGAGUUGAAUGCUGGAAGAAUUGGCCUCACCAUUGUCAUUGCGGGGAUGGUGGGGUCCCUCAUAUGUGGGAUCUGGUUGGACAAGACCAAAACCUACAAACAGACUACCCUGGCUGUAUAUCUUCUGUCCUUCGUGGGAAUGGUGGUCUAUGCCUUCACCCUCAACUUAGGCCACCUAUGGGUGGUGUUUGUAACAUCGGGGGCUCUAGGGUUCUUCAUGACUGGGUACCUGCCGCUUGGCUUUGAGUUUGCUGUGGAGCUGACCUUCCCAGAGUGUGAGGGCACCUCCUCAGGCCUGCUCAACUGUUCAGCUCAGAUAUUUGGGAUCAUAUUCACCAUUGGUCAAGGGAAGAUCAUAGAGCACUUUGGAACGUUUGCUGGGAACAUCUUUCUCUGUGUCUUCCUCCUCAUGGGCACUAUUAUGACAGCAUUCAUCAAGUCUGACCUCCGACGGCAAAAGGCCAACCAUCUGGCUGAGACACAGGCGGAAAGUUAGAUGGUGAGAACUGGAGAUGACCACAGUCAACCUGAGAUCGAUACCUUACUCAAAGGAGAUUUAAUCAGGAGGUACCUCCCUCUUCACUGUGGUGGAAAUGCCAGCUGUGAUCUGGGAUAAAGAGGAUUCAGAGUCCUCCUCAGAGGACGAGCAAGAAGACCAUCCUUGCAUUGCCUAGAGUGGCCUCAGCAGGAAGGUCCCAGUCCUGGUGUUCUUUGCUGAAGCCAUCGUCUCUAAGGAUGACAACAUCUGUUCUGUUGGAGAUUGUGCACACGGAGAGCCGGCUGGUGCGUGGCAUGCUGACCAAUCAUGGAUUCCAUGAGUUGCAAUGACCCUGAAGUGGAGGAUUAUAGAAACAAAUGGAGCAGGAGUGCAAUGCUCCGGUAUUUAUAGCAGGAGGGAAAGGACACCACAUAACUGUAUGGCUUUGAUGUGCUUAUCCACUCCAAUCUCAAACCAUGGCUCCUGGAGGUCAACGUCUCUCCUUCUCUGGCCUGCGAUGCUCCUCUGGAUCUGAAGAUAAAGACCAGCAUGAUGUCAGACAUGUUUUCUCUUGUGGGUGAGUCUCUCUCGCUCUCUAUCUGUGCACACUAAUGAUAAAGGCCAGCAUGAUAUCAGACAUGUUUUCUCUUGUGGGUGAGUCUCUCUCGCUCUCUAUCUGUGCACACUAAUGAUAAAGGCCAGCAUGAUAUCAGACAUGUUUUCUCCUGUGGGUGAGUCUCUCUCUCUAUCUGUGCACACUAAUGAUAAAGGCCAGCAUGAUAUCAGACAUGUUUUCUCUUGUGGGUGAGUCUCUCUCUCUCUCUAUCUGUGCACACUAAUGAUAAAGGCGAGCAUGAUAUCAGACAUGUUUUCUCUUGUGGGUGAGUCUCUCUCUCUAUCUGUGCACACUAAUGAUAAAGGCGAGCAUGAUAUCAGACAUGUUUUCUCUUGUGGGUGAGUCUCUCUCUCUAUCUGUGCACACUAAUGAUAAAGGCCAGCAUGAUAUCAGACAUGUUUUCUCUUGUGGGCGAGUCUCUCUCUCUAUCUGUGCACACUAAUGAUAAAGGCCAGCAUGAUAUCAGACAUGUUUUCUCUUGUGGGUGAGUCUCUCUCUCUCUCUAUCUGUGCACACUAAUGAUAAAGGCGAGCAUGAUAUCAGACAUGUUUUCUCUUGUGGGUGAGUCUCUCUCUCUAUCUGUGCACACUAAUGAUAAAGGCCAGCAUGAUAUCAGACAUGUUUUCUCUUGUGGGUGAGUCUCUCUCUCUCUCUCUAUCUGUGCACACUAAUGAUAAAGGCCAGCAUGAUAUCAGACAUGUUUUCUCUUGUGGGUGAGUCUCUCUCUCUAUCUGUGCACACUAAUGAUAAAGGCCAGCAUGAUAUCAGACAUGUUUUCUCUUGUGGGUGAGUCUCUCUCUCUAUCUGUGCACACUAAUGAUAAAGGCCAGCAUGAUAUCAGACAUGUUUUCUCUUGUGGGUGAGUCUCUCUCUCUCUCUCUCUAUCUGUGCACACUAAUGAUAAAGGCCAGCAUGAUAUCAGACAUGUUUUCUCCUGUGGGUGAGUCUCUCUCUCUAUCUGUGCACACUAAUGAUAAAGGCCAGCAUGAUAUCAGACAUGUUUUCUCUUGUGGGUGAGUCUCUCUCUCUCUCUAUCUGUGCACACUAAUGAUAAAGGCGAGCAUGAUAUCAGACAUGUUUUCUCUUGUGGGUGAGUCUCUCUCUCUAUCUGUGCACACUAAUGAUAAAGGCCAGCAUGAUAUCAGACAUGUUUUCUCUUGUGGGUGAGUCUCUCUCUCUCUCUCUAUCUGUGCACACUAAUGAUAAAGGCCAGCAUGAUAUCAGACAUGUUUUCUCUUGUGGGCGAGUCUCUCUCUCUCUCUAUCUGUGCACACUAACGCGUUAAUGCACUGAUUCUGGGGAGGGAGGAACGCCAAGGGUUUGGUCUGGCGGCUACGCCUGAAUGCUCUGAAAUGUUUCUGUUUAUUACAUACCGACCUGUUUAUUGUAAACCACAUGCUCUUUAUGAUGUGAGUAGACCAUUACCUCUAUACUUUUUGUUUUAAAACAUAGAUUGUCAGAAAGGUGCAGGUUUUAGGAGCCCAUUGACAUGCAGGCUAUUUCUCCCAUUAUAUCCACUCUUGCUACUGUAAGACUGACUUUAGCAAUAUGAUUAAUUGUAAGGGCCUUUUCUCAGGCUGACAUCAGUUUGAUGCCUGUAAAUAUUUUAACCAUGUCAACCUCUUUGCAUAGUAAGUCAGUAAAGAACUGGACAGAUUCUCAUCAUUUAUGACAUGGGCAGUCUUCUAAAUGAGCUGCCCUUUGUUUGAUCUGUUGGUUCAGUUGCCUUCACUCCCAUCCCCAUGUCUCCUCCAGGGCCUCUCUCUACCUGUGAACUGGGCGGGGCCUAGCUGGGGAGUGCCAGUGUAGAUGGAAACUUUGUUGGCCCUGACUCCUGCCAUCCGCAGGAUUCAGCCUGCAGCAGGCUCUAUUGCGCUUGUUUUUCAGCCCAGUGUCUCUUGUCUAUUAGGCCUACCUUCAGAAAAUCCUCACUGUGAAGAAAAAAUGCCAGUAAUUGGCCAUUCUGCUGCCUGACGCUUGGUUUCAGCCUGUGGAGACAGUUAGGCAUUGUUUAAAACUAACUUUUGCCUCACAGUUAGUUACCGUUUUAUAUUAGAGAAUAGUUAUAUUGCUCCAUAAUGGGACCUCAGAAUUGUGCAGAAACCACAGGCAUUAUUCAUUAACAUUCAAUGACUGGUGGGUGAAAUUGUCAACAGAGGACUUGUUUUGGAGUAAUUAAGCUCUCUUGAGAAAUGUGAUCUCACAUUAUUAAGCCAAAGCAAUCCUUAGCAUGCAGACAAGAAAUGGUUAGCCCUAGGAGCAGAUCAACACUGUUUAUACAACAGACUUUCUUUAUGCAGAGAAUGACAUGUCUUUGUUAUGUCGCCUUCCUUCACAAUUAAUGCAUUCUCAGGUAGCCAGGUUGUUUCAAGCUGUGGAGAAAAUUCAAGUCCACACCUGAAAGAAAUAUUGUUAUUACACAUUUUUACAUAUUUUUUUUACAGUACUUCAUCCUAACACUUUCAGACUUAACCAAUUCCUUCCAAAGCAAGUUGAGCUUUGACAAUGACACGUGUACUACAGGAAUAACUAUUUUCAUCUUUCUCAUAUCAGUACUGGUAAUGAGUUGAGAUAUUCUGUCUUCAUCUUGUUUGUACCUUCCUGUCAUGAUCCAGAGCGUCGUCUGAGCCCGUUAACGAUAUCUAAAAUGACACUGAGCCCCAGAGCCUGUAGGCCAUAUCUAAUGACACUGUGAGGGGCUGUUGGGGUAUCUGUCUGUACUGGGGCCAGCGUGCGGAAUCAUAAAUUACAGUUAUCUUUGGACUGAUGCAUUACUGGGUAAAAUGAGCAGUGGCAUGUAAAACAUACCCCGUCUAUUAUUCACUAUACAAACCCUGAUGCUUUUGGCUGAUAACACUUGGGCUGCAUCCCAGCUCUGUAAAUAAUGACAGCAUGCCAUUAGCAUUCAUUUUCCCCUUGUGUGUAGCUGUCAGUAAUGCGUCAGCCGUGUUUGUAAUAAUUGCCACAUUUAGACAAGAACGUGGCAAGAGCCCAGUUCUUACCUGACGGCUUGGAUGAGGCAGUACAAAUAACCUCAGGGCCUAAGCUGUCGAUUGAUUUGAUCCUAAAUAAGUUGUCCCAUCACUCUGUAUGGGAAAGCAUGACGUUAACUUUAAAGUAGUUUUCCUCUCUUCAUCUGGGAUCAGUUAGCUCUAAGUGAUUUUUUUAAAGAGAGAAAGAGAGAGUGUAAAUGAUUGUGAGUUUGAGAACAACUGUGAAGAAAGGCCUACAGCACCGUAUUCAUGUCACACAUGAUAGUAUCAGAUUGAUAUUUAUUACAGGAUUACAUGUGCUUUACUGCUCUAGAUAACACAUGCUCUCUAGAAUCUUAGGCCACUGUCAUUUACUCAUUGUAGUGAGUCAUGUCCCUACAAGCUUUGUUUGUCAGGAUCUCCUGCUACAACAAUCCCUCUGAACGGGUGACUCUGGACCCAGGCCUGACAAAGCACAGGUAUGGGACACCACCACUUUUAUUGUUUCACUAAAAAGUGCUUUAGUUUAGACAUCUGAAGGAACUGCCUUUCCAUGCCAUAUAACGCAACUUCAUGAAACGUCUUUCUCAACAUGGCCUGUCAUCAUGUCUCUUACUGUAUUUGUUUUGCUGUUAUAGCUGAGCCCUUUUUGCCCUAAUGGAAAGUCAUUCUCAUGAAAAACAACUGCUAAUGCAAUUACAGGGUUAGGGUGACAUCAUCAGCACUGCGAGUGCACGCUCUGAAGAUUAUUAUUUGAUCAUGUUUAAUCAGGUGACUAAUGCUCUCACUAGGCUCUGUUGCUUAAUGAUGCCACAGCAGCUAAUACACUUGGCUCACUGCAGUGAACUACUGCACCCGGUCUGGGCUAGGAUCUGCUGGUGGGACAUGAUCAAGUCAGACAUUUUUCUACUCCACCUUAAAUUGCAUAAAGUGCCCAGAUAGCCUUACUGUAACAAGGCUGUACGUUUGUUCAUAUAUGUGUGACGCGGUGAGGUUGGACCCAGGUGCAGAGUAGAGACCAGACGGGGAAUCAGUGGUUAAGGAUAAACAUAAUACUUUACUGAGAAACGGUAGCCGCAGGAUCACAGUACACUUGAAAAAACAACAAACGCUAAGUCUCAAACUCCCUCAGGAAACGAACGCACAUGGUAAACAACUCAAGCUUCUGCAAAGGACAACAGAAAACACACCUCUUUCAACAGGGAAAUUAGUAAAUAGGACACACCUGAAUGUCGUUAAUAUCUCUAGGACGGUCUCUGCUGCCCUCUGGUGACAGGUGGAACCAUGACAAUGUGAUCUGUAUGAAUGGCUCGGUUUGUGUGCUUACAGUGUGUUUUUCGAUGUGCAUGUCUAAGUGCUUCUCUGCAUGUGUGUAUGUUAAGACUGGUGUAGUUAGCGGCUGAUGUUCAUCUCACUGUCUCUCACACGCCAUUGCCUCUCUUAGCGUCCUUUCUCUGCUCAGUCAGCCAGUGCACACUCCAGAGUGGUAAGUUGUCCUGCCUUCUCAUAUCGUCUAACCCAACCACAUGAACCCUGCUGCACCUUUUCCCUAUGCCUCACCACUGUGACGUCUUUACAUUAAUCGGUAAGGAAGCCACUUCAUUUUUCAACCACUUAUCCUUCUUAGCCUAUUGUUUUUGAGUCUAAACGAUUCUGAUAUUUUCCAUACUUGUGGCUGCCAAAAAGCCCCCUCUAUCGAUUGUGAAUUAUGGUUUUGAAGUGGUGCUUUUAAUCGAAUAGUCCUUAUUAGAUUGUUCUUUGCAAGUCUAUGAUUUAGAAGCAAUGCAAUGUAGCUCUGAGAAUUAAUCCCUUGAUGUCUCAGCCCCUCUGCCGGUUACAGACACAGCAAAACAAUCUUGCCACUAAAGCAGUCCUGUCAGAGAGACAGUGAAUCCUGUGCUCCUAUGCUGUGAUUAGGAGCAACAGUUUAAAUUAUUUCAGGGGAUCAGGCCUUGUCAGUCUCUGGAUGCCAUCAUAUCUCCCCAACCAGUCUGACAAAUUCAAUGUAAUCCCCCUGCUAUUUAGAUGACAAAUUCUCUAUGUGAUCCUGUGGGGUUAUGACCUGCUGUCUGACCCUGGCUCAAACCUGCGUGCCAAAGUCGUCAAUCAGACCUGGUAAUGCAUGCCGAGGAGGAGGCAGCCAGGAAUGCCAGCUAGCAAAGAUAGAAAAUGUGCCAUUUAUGUAACCCAGGGAGGGAGGAAAGGGGAUGAUUUUUUACGUUUUCCAUAGAUUUGGUGCUUUUCUGUAUGUAAAGAUUGUUACAUUUUUUGAAAUAUUAGUUUUUAUCAGUGUGUGGGAUGAUUUCUUAGAAUUCAACAGAGCCAGCCAACUUGCAUUAGCACCCUAAUCAUUAGACCUAUUAAACACCUAAUUUAUUAAACCGUUAUCAGGGUGGAUUUUUGUGGGAAUUAGAUAGAUGGUAUCAGUAUAACGAUAUGUCCGCUCCCCUUUCCUCUCCUGCAGUUGCAGAGACCACUGUCAGCCAACAACACUGACACAGACAGGCCUAAUGAGAAGCCAGGAGGUAAACAGGGACAGCACCCUGGGCCUGACUGC